rnacentral:rRNA from 1 species
GACGAACGCUGGCGGCGUGCUUAACACAUGCAAGUCGAACGGUAAGGCCCUUCGGGGUACACGAGUGGCGAACGGGUGAGUAACACGUGGGUGAUCUGCCCUGCACUUCGGGAUAAGCCUGGGAAACUGGGUCUAAUACCGGAUAGGACCACUGCCUGCAUGGGUUGUGGUGGAAAGCUUUUGCGGUGUGGGAUGGGCCCGCGGCCUAUCAGCUUGUUGGUGGGGUGAUAGCCUACCAAGGCGACGAACGGUAGCCGGCCUGAGAGGGUGACCGGGCACACGGGGACUGAGAUACGGCCCAGACUCCUACGGGAGGGAGCAGUGGGGAAUAUUGCACAAUGGGCGCAAGCCUGAUGCAGCGACGGCGCGUGAGUGAUGACGGCCUUCGGGUUGUAAACCUCUUUCAGCACCGACGAAGCGCAAGUGACGGUAGGUGCAGAAGAAGGACCGGCCAACUACGUGCCAGCAGCCGCCGCGG